rnacentral:rRNA from 1 species
AUGAACGCUAGCGGCAGGCUUAACACAUGCAAGUCGAGGGGUAGAAGGAGCUUGCUCCUUUGAGACCGGCGCACGGGUGCGUAACGCGUAUGCAAUCUACCUUUUGCAGAGGGAUAGCCCAGAGAAAUUUGGAUUAAUACCUCAUAGUAUGUGAGGAUGGCAUCAUUUCACAUUAAAGUCACAACGGCAAAAGAUGAGCAUGCGUCCCAUUAGCUAGUUGGUAAGGUAACGGCUUACCAAGGCUACGAUGGGUAGGGGUCCUGAGAGGGAGAUCCCCCACACUGGUACUGAGACACGGACCAGACUCCUACGGGAGGCAGCAGUGAGGAAUAUUGGACAAUGGGCGCAAGCCUGAUCCAGCCAUGCCGCGUGCAGGAUGACGGUCCUAUGGAUUGUAAACUGCUUUUGUACAGGAAGAAACACUACUUCGUGAAGUAGCUUGACGGUACUGUAAGAAUAAGGAUCGGCUAACUCCGUG